AUGUCAUACGAAAGGAGAGUUAGCUCUCCCCUUGACAAGGAUGGAAGGGCCUUGAGCCUCAAACACACAUGUACUUGAGGCACAGGCACCAAGGUUGUGGCAUCUAAUCACUGUCUUCA
ensembl:snRNA Gm23031 predicted gene, 23031